GGAUCAUUACUGAGUUUACGCUCUACAACCCUUUGUGAACAUACCUAUAACUGUUGCUUCGGCGGGUAGGGUCUCCGUGACCCUCCCGGCCUCCCGCCCCCGGGCGGGUCGGCGCCCGCCGGAGGAUAACCAAACUCUGAUUUAACGACGUUUCUUCUGAGUGGUACAAGCAAAUAAUCAAAACUUUUAACAACGGAUCUCUUGGUUCUGGCAUCGAUGAAGAACGCAGCGAAAUGCGAUAAGUAAUGUGAAUUGCAGAAUUCAGUGAAUCAUCGAAUCUUUGAACGCACAUUGCGCCCGCCAGCAUUCUGGCGGGCAUGCCUGUUCGAGCGUCAUUUCAACCCUCAAGCUCUGCUUGGUGUUGGGGCCCUACAGCUGAUGUAGGCCCUCAAAGGUAGUGGCGGACCCUCCCGGAGCCUCCUUUGCGUAGUAACUUUACGUCUCGCACUGGGAUCCGGAGGGACUCUUGCCGUAAAACCCCCAAUUUUCCAAAGGUUGACCUCGGAUCAGGUAGGAAUACCCGCUGAACUUAAGC
rnacentral:rRNA from 2 species